AGUUCUUCAGUGGCAAGCUUUAUGUCCUGACCCAGCUAAAGCUGCCAGUUGAAGAACUGU
ncrna:Tupaia chinensis (Chinese tree shrew) microRNA tch-mir-22 precursor